AGGGGAUGCUGGGGGUGAAGGAUUCAUUCCACUGCCUUCCUCUGGAGCCUCUGAAGCCUAGUGGGAGAGAGGAAACUACCGAGACUGCCCGAUGGAGAAGUCUAGACUUCAGCCUGUGACUCUGGCUUCCCGGGGAGCCCGAGAUCUUGCUGUGACAUCGAAUGAAUACAUAUCGGUGAGUAUGAGGCGACUACAUUAAUUCGGGGGUUCUGGGAUGAGAUGGGGACGUUAAUAUUUAUUCGAGAUCAAGGGAGCAGCUGCGGUCAACCUGCUUUGUUCUCCCCGUACCUCCUGCAGGGAGCACUUGGCCCGGUUAUCAGGGAGAGCACACUACCCUGGCGUGACUCUGCGUUUGACACCUGCUCUGCUCCUGGACUCUGAGCUCUGAGAGCAGGACUGUCUGUUACUGUUCCCGGUCGUACCUCCAGCACCGGGACCAGGAGCUCCAUAUAUACUCUCAAAUGAAUACAACAGUAAUUCACAGAGGUUUAGGACAGGCAUCUGAGAACACAGAACAAGAUCCAGUAUGCUUGUUCCUUAAUCCUCUCGAGCAGGAGUUGGCAAACUUUUUUUGUGAAGGGGCAGAGAGUCAACAUUUUAGACUUGUAGGACCCUACAGUCUUGGACAUCACUUAAUGUCACUGCCGUACCAUCCAGGCAGCCAUAAUUGGUAUGUAGAUGAAUGAAUGUGACCGUGUUUCAAUAAAAUUUUAUUUACGGACACAGAGACUUGAAUUUCACAUAAUUUUAAUUUUCGUGGGUCAUGAAAUGUGUUCACAUGUUACAAGAUACAAUUCUUUUGCUUUUUUCCCAACCGCUAAAAGCUACGUGAGCCGUUCUUAGCUUGUGGGAUGUAUAAAAGCAGGUGGUGGGCCAGAACUGAUCUGAAAA